UUUAUCAUGUCGAUAUUUCCCUGUUUGGGUGAGGGCCAUUGGAUUGAGCUGAAAGGAGCUGAGCAUUGACUUUAGCCCGCCUGCUGAGAUAGGUGGACUUUGCACUGGCUUACAAAACUUCUGCAGGACCAUCAGAAACCAAAACAGGCCCACUGUGGGGUAAUAUCUCUGGUUGUAAGAGAGAAGUCAGACAGCAGAGUGCAUUCCAGCCUGGCUUGCACUGUGGUCCUAAUGAUACCCUUUGGAUUUUGGUCACCAGUUAAAUGCUACGGUUGCAUUCCUUUGACUUGUGGUCUAGCAGAAGGCUCGGUGUGCUGCUAUGCGAUUUGUAGUGGGGUCAGAGCUCAGAGGACAGAGAGAAGCUAGCAGGGCUAAUGUGAGCCCUGGCAGACAGACAUUUAUAUAGACAAGGACAGCCCUUUGUCCUUAGUUGCCCUGGAUCACUGUUCUAACUCUGCUCUGCUAAUCAGCUCAGGGUCAGCUUAAGAUGCUUCAUGACAAUGGGCACAUAUGUCAGUUACAGCUGAAAGACCUUUGCUCUUUCUGCAAGGAAAUGAUUUGUCCAUUGCCUUCAAUGACCUUCCCAUUUGUCAGGCCGCCUGCUGAAUGCCAGUUGAUAAAAAUGAUAAGGAAUGAGGCACAAAUUCAACUUUCAGUCAAACAGAUGGCAGCGCAAUGAGAAUGGCAAAUAAUGUUUCAGUGAGAACUGCAGCAGUGCCCAACAUUCCUCUGAGUGGCUGACAAGAAUGCUUUUAGGCAGGUUAAGUGCUGGGAGAGCCUAUAUGCCUGACAGAUUGCAGGAAGCCUAAACACACUUCUACAUCUGGGAGCUGCCAGGAUCAAUAGCAGUGAACUUUGGCCUUACAGCACUUGAAGGCAUCACUGAAAAUUGUGGAUUUUUGUGAUAAGACAUUUAAAACAAACACCAACAACUCACCCUGAAAAGAGAAACGAAAACAACCAACCAACCAGACAAAAAAAACCACCCCAAAUCCAAGCUCCUUCCAGCUUAAACAAACGGAGGUCAAAGAAUGUGACAUUUAAAUGGGAAAUGAGGGAAGCAGAUCGAGGGGAGAAGAGGUGACUUGUCCAACCAAGAUUGAAGACAGUUUCAUGCUGCAGUAUUCAAAGCCCAGAAAUUUUCUUCAGGCAAAUUGUUGAUAUUUGCAGGGAUGUGGAAGGUGCAAUGCUGCUGGAAUGAAUGAAUCUAGACCCAUGCACAGAGACUCUGGCUUUGUGCUGUCCAUGACAACAAUAGCACCAAGCCACAGAAGAGGCAGUGCAGAAUGGUUCCUGUGUUUUACGUAAGACCACUGCUCAACUCAACAGAUCUGAAUAAUAACUGAAGUCAAUUAAAUUAACCAGAUGAGAAAAACAGCUACACCCAUUUCAGCAUGGAUGUGUGCAAUCACAAGCAAUUACUGUGAUUAACUUUCUCACAGUCAUAUAAAUUCAGCACCUGGCCAAUAAGGUGCAUAUAUGUCUGUGCUAAGGAUUUUGCUCCAGGCAAGAGUUGUGCUAUGUGUGAGGAUCCUUUUAUUUGCCUGUUUCCCAGAAGUCUUACAUUUCUCCUUAGAUUUCCUUGUCUUUUUUGGCUUGACCUGAGCUGUGUUUGACGUUCAAACAUUCGUUGUUAGCGGUGGGUGGGAGAGCUCUGCUACAACAUCACACCAUCCUUAAGUCAAGUCACCAUUCAUAUCAGUGGAGCUUCCCCAUCUUUGCAAUCAAGCAACCUACACAGGAUUCAGGAGUCCAUUCUUCCAGUGAGCCCAGAAAAGCAUUGAUUGAAGGCAAAUAGUUGGAUAAUAUUAAUGUUAUGUUUCAAUGUUUCACUGCUGUGUACACACAGCGCUUGUUACCAUAAGGACCAAUGUGUCAGAUUGAUAAUCAGCAGCCUCGCACCAACAUGGUUCAGGAAACAAGCUUAGCUUUCCAUACACAUGGCACUGUUGUCAUUUUGCACUACAUUUAUAGAGAAAAGUACACUGAAGCUAUUCUUCAGUGUCCUUGAAUUGCUGGACUAACAUCACUAAGAUUUUCCUUAUAAACCAACAUAGAGGUGGGUGUCUGCUGUCUUUGUUCAGGAUUAUGGCAGAUAGUUUUUAAAUUAAAUUUUUAUAUGACUCUCAUUCUCAGCUCGAGCACGCUGCGAUUGCCAAAACGAAUGAAGUGAAUUUAGACAGUUCAUGAAUCAGUCCAUAAACCAUGUAGGGAAGAUUCAGUUGUAGAAAAGAUCAGGCACCUGCACUACAAUCUCAGUGGUGUAUUCAGGUUCAGUAGAUUUCUCAUUCAGAAAUAGGAAGAAAAAAAGAGGUUCUCCUCUUAUUGGUGUAAUUGUUCUCAUGUUGUUUCUGGUCAGUUUUUUUUCAACACCGUCUUAAAUUUGUCAGCAAGUGGAAUGUGAGAAUAUUAACCUCUGUACAAAUGGGAACUUUUGUAAUGGUCUCCUCUUCCCUGUGCCAUUCAUCUGUGUGGUAAGGGUUCUACUUCAGCAAGAUGCUGAGCAGCAUGACAAGCUCCAUGCUCUGGAAGACCUUCUCCUCUCCUUCUCCUCUCCUCCUCUCCAUUAGUGGGAGCUUAUUAUUUAGUCAGAGUUCUGCAAAGUGUUGCUGAUGUCUCUUGCUGGAACACCCUGGGGCUCAGGCUCUCUGAGCUGAUGAGCCUCCAGCUGAAUUAUGGGAUUUCCCCAGUGCCAGGGGAUUACGGUGCAUCAGAAAACAUGCACUUGCAAUAGGAAAAGUCUUCAGACUGCUAAACAGCUGAUAUGUCUGCAAUUGUCUUUCGGAAGAAGAGAAACAACCUCUUGACUCUCAAGCCCCAUAUGAGAAAUUUACAGGAUAGUGGAAUUAUUGUGUAGAGUUUCAUGCCACCACUACACGAUGUAAAGGAAAAUUGUGUGAUGACAAACAGCUCUGUCCGAUGGCAGUGCUAGAUGUACCAUGGGAAGAUGAUUCACUUUCCAGCGUGCUUUUGACUUCUGGCAUUUUGCAUUUUUCCCUUUAUACUUCCCAUAAUACAGCUUUCAGGCAGAUGGUGGCUCUCUGUCCAGAGUUGUACGCUGUUUUCUGAGAUAUCUGGAAUUGGGCCUUUACAGAAUAAUCAAAAAGAGAUUUUUUUAGAGCAAUAUUGCUAAUGGAUGAAGGCUUCUUUUUAGAUCUUGCCAAUAACAAAUCUCUCUAUUCUUAGGCCAUUAAGCACUUUAAAAUAGAGUUGAAUAGAGCACUGAGUAAAAUCAGGAAGCGUUUUUGUAUGGCUGUCAUACAUGGCUUGGGUGUAGGCUUCUUAAUCCAGGACAUGAGCUCAGAAUGACCGGGCCCUUGAUCCCCUUCGAGCUAUGUUGUGUUGGGAUGCUCGGGGGUUCUGGGAACAGUUGUACCAAGAAGGAAAGGCAAGUGAUAUAUCAAUUUGCAACAUUUCAUUUUUGUGUAAGAGCUUCUAUUUGUAUUAAGGGAAUGUGUUUAUUUUAGGAUCAAAUAGAAGUCCUAAUACUGAGGCAAGGUAGGGUCAUUUUCCCUUUUGAGUUCUAUGACUUCUCAUAGAAUGCUUUCUGUGCAGAAUUAGUUUACCUAUGUAGCAAUUAAUGUGUACUCUGGAAAACUGUGUUGAUAGAAAGUAGCAGAUAACCACAGAUUGUCCUUCCCUGACUUUGUGUCGUAAGAUCUAUGUCAGCCUAUGUGAUUACUACUCAUCGUCUCUUUCUACUGUGUGCUUCUCCAGCUGCCAGUGCAGCUCAGGUGGGUUUAUCUGCAAGGACAGGCUCCCAGUUCCAUUGAAUGUUGUUGUGUGGAAGCCUCUGGACUGACCUAAAACCCACUGACUCUGUUGGACCACACUGCCCGUUAGAAAAUCCACUGGCAAGCUGCCUACUGCACCGCUGGGAGAACCAUUAAUGGGCAGCAAAACUGAAUUUUGACAAACUGUAGUAAGCUUCCAUAGAAGAUUUUGUAUCAAUGCUGAUCUCAUAUGCCUCCUUGAAGUGCCUAGAGACUGAGUUUGAACAUCUAGGCCAAUCUUUUUACAAGGAAAAAACUCGUUUUGGUGAUGGUUCUCAAGACGAGGGUAAACAUUGUCGUUGUUCUGGGCUUUGUGAAGGCCACAAAGGCAUUUCCCUGUUGUCAGUGCCGUAAAAGUCAUUUCACCCCGCACAGUGGAAAAGGGGCUUUCCACUGAGACAUUACCAUGACUCUGGAUGUGGCUGAAGAAAACACAGAAAGCGUUUUUAUGGUCAACAAAUAGUUAUGAUUUUAAUGAGCCAUAGAAUACACUGGAAAAAAAAUGAGUUUUUAUUAUUUGAAGAACAAAAUAAACAAGAGCUGUCCUAUAAGAAA